GAUGAACGCUGGCGGCGUGCUUAACACAUGCAAGUCGAACGAUGAAGCCCAGCUUGCUGGGUGGAUUAGUGGCGAACGGGUGAGUAACACGUGAGUAACCUGCCCUUAACUCUGGGAUAAGCCUGGGAAACUGGGUCUAAUACCGGAUAGGAGCGUCCACCGCAUGGUGGGUGUUGGAAAGAUUUAUCGGUUUUGGAUGGACUCGCGGCCAAUCAGCUUGUUGGUGAGGUAAUGGCUCACCAAGGCGACGACGGGUAGCCGGCCUGAGAGGGUGACCGGCCACACUGGGACUGAGACACGGCCCAGACUCCUACGGGAGGCAGCAGUGGGGAAUAUUGCACAAUGGGCGCAAGCCUGAUGCAGCGACGCCGCGUGAGGGAUGACGGCCUUCGGGUUGUAAACCUCCUUCAGUAGGGAAGAAGCGAAAGUGACGGUACCUGCAGAAGAAGCACCGGCUAACUACGUG
rnacentral:rRNA from 1 species